GGAGAGAUGGCUGAGUGGUCGAUAGCGGCGCUUUGCUAAAGCGUUGUACGUGUAACAGCGUACCGGGGGUUCGAAUCCCCCUCUCUCCGCCA
rnacentral:tRNA from 1 species